rnacentral:lncRNA from 1 species
GUGACAAUUUUUUUGAAUGUUACCCUCUCGUCUAGACCAAUCAAAACCGAUAGUUUAAAGGACAAUGCAUUGAAUUUACAUGAAGUAAUUAAAUACAAUGCUAAAAAUCUACGUUUUGGCUCAGAUUUUAUUAUUUGACUGUCAAAAUAAAAAAAAAAUAAAACAUCUUGAAUAACUUUUGUUAAUUUUUUUUCUAACACCCA